rnacentral:rRNA from 1 species
UGCAAGUCGAGCGAACAGAAGGGAGCUUGCUCCCGGAUGUUAGCGGCGGACGGGUGAGUAACACGUGGGUAACCUGCCUGUAAGACUGGGAUAACUCCGGGAAACCGGAGCUAAUACCGGAUAGUUCCUUGAACCGCAUGGUUCAAGGAUGAAAGACGGUUUCGGCUGUCACUUACAGAUGGACCCGCGGCGCAUUAGCUAGUUGGUGGGGUAAUGGCUCACCAAGGCGACGAUGCGUAGCCGACCUGAGAGGGUGAUCGGCCACACUGGGACUGAGACACGGCCCAGACUCCUACGGGAGGCAGCAGUAGGGAAUCUUCCGCAAUGGACGAAAGUCUGACGGAGCAACGCCGCGUGAGUGAUGAAGGUUUUCGGAUCGUAAAGCUCUGUUGUUAGGGAAGAACAAGUGCGAGAGUAACUGCUCGCACCUUGACGGUACCUAACCAGAAAGCCACGGCUAACUACGUGCCAGCAGCCGCGGUAAUACGUAGGUGGCAAGCGUUGUCCGGAAUUAUUGGGCGUAAAGGGCUCGCAGGCGGUUUCUUAAGUCUGAUGUGAAAGCCCCCGGCUCAACCGGGGAGGGUCAUUGGAAACUGGGAAACUUGAGUGCAGAAGAGGAGAGUGGAAUUCCACGUGUAGCGGUGAAAUGCGUAGAGAUGUGGAGGAACACCAGUGGCGAAUGCGACUCUCUGGUCUGUAACUGACGCUGAGGAGCGAAAGCGUGGGGAGCGAACAGGAUUAGAUACCCUGGUAGUCCACGCCGUAAACGAUGAGUGCUAAGUGUUAGGGGGUUUCCGCCCCUUAGUGCUGCAGCUAACGCAUUAAGCACUCCGCCUGGGGAGUAC